CUUCGAGUGCCCAUUAGCUUACCGACACUGGACUUCGCUCUGGUUGAAGAUCGUAUGUUGUUCGGAAUUUCGUUUUCCCAAGCAGCCUUUUACAGACACCUAUUACAGAUUCCGCUCAAAGUUUGUCAGACGUCAUGCGCGGACUGUCGGACGAAAAUUGGGCUGCUGGAAACAUUGCUGACCAUUCAUUCAUGCACGGCUGCGUUGGUAGACGAAGAAGUUUCUCCCUUUGGUUACUUUGGUUUGGUGGUGAACAUUGCCAACAACAUUGGUUAUCAUUCCUCACUGGACUUGCCGUAGGUACAAUGUCCACCGAUGGUUGCCGUUCCUCACGUGGGCUUGCCGUUCCGUAGGCACAAUGUCCACCGAUCAGCUGCAAGGUGAGCCACACGUCGAGAUCAACCAGGGCGAAGUUCUUCCUCGAGAAUCUACAGAGAACGCGCACUUGCUGAAACUUGUCGUCUGUACAGCGGCGAUCUGUGCCGCACUGGUCAUUACCUGCACAUCUCGCACCAUACGUUCCAAAUUUGCCAUUCCUCUCCAUUGGCUGCUCUCCGAAAAUCCCGCAGACGACUUCUUGUAUAUGUCUUCUGGUAAUCACUCUUCUUUCCUGGACGUUCUUGAGAACCAUAGUUCAAGCGUACUUCAUACCAGUGAAGAGAACCCGCUCAUUCCGCGCUACCGACUCAAGAUCAAACGGACAAGGCCCAGUCGCCUCCUGACCGGUUCCACCUCUCCUGCACGGCGAACAAAUGUUUCGCCUUUUAAAGCAAUAUUUACUGCUUCCCGUAUGACUUUGCCAGCAACAGUAUAUGUGAACGAGAGGAACCACCUGAGUCACUUGGCUUCUAAGCGAGUUCUAAUGGAAACAACGAUAGUCAAGCCUGCCUCGGUGACACAGCCUUCUAAUUCGAAAGUGGUCAUCAGGGACCGGGUAAACACAGUUACAUCUCCUGCGAUCUCUGCGGUAAUAAGUCAGGGAAUUUUCGUGAGCAGGAAAUCCUCGAAUAGUUCAGCAAGCACCACAUCGCUUCCGCAACACGGAUCGUCUGCAACAGUGGUCGAGGUUCCAGAAGCGUCAUACAAUUCCUCGUACGGCAAUUCGUCGCCAUAGAGCCCCGUAAGGUGGUAUAUCUGUAACUGUGCUUAUCGUAAUAUACAGAAUUAUAAAAACAA